rnacentral:rRNA from 1 species
UACGAAGGGGGCUAGCGUUGUUCGGAAUCACUGGGCGUAAAGCGCACGCAGGCGGAUUGAUAAGUCGGGGGUGAAAUCCCGGGGCUCAACCUCGGAAUUGCCUUCGAUACUGUCUGUCUUGAGUCCGGGAGAGGUGAGUGGAAUUCCUAGUGUAGAGGUGAAAUUCGUAGAUAUUAGGAAGAACACCAGUAGCGAAGGCGGCUCACUGGCCCGGUACUGACGCUCAUGUGCGAAAGCGUGGGGAGCAAACAGG